CUUGUACAGGCAGAAGGCCUCACGGUCUGGCAAGACGGCAGAGACUCUGCGGCGGAUCCUAGGGAUUUAUGAUCUCCAGGAACAACGUGAUGUCCACAUGAGACGAACCCUGGCCCUCCAUGCACUCCCAGUGUACUUGCGCGAGGAUGACAGUGAGUUCUUCAAGACUUGCAAUGGGGAAGAUGAGCCAGAUAUUGCCGACACCCUGCUGGCUCUCCUCACUGUGGGCACUACUGGUCACGACAUCUUCAGCCCAAACAGCAUUUGUGUUGUAGUAGAAGAUGACGUUGUUGUGAGUGAUCUUCCAAAGAUGACUGAUGCAUUUGUACUGUUGUUUGGGUUGAUCUAUGCAUUGCAUUUAGACUAUCCAAAGAAGCUUAUUCACACAUUCACCUUCAUUCAGAAGAUACUGAUGUUUCUCGAUGACAACAAACCACUGAAACCGUGCCUACUGACUUUGAAAAAUGACUUGCUGAGAGAGUAAGCCAAGCAUUAACAUCCACAUGUCUCUGUGAAGCAUGUGAAGCAUCCAGGGUCAUGUUAAAAUAGAUG